rnacentral:lncRNA from 1 species
CCCAACAUGAAGCUUGUUUUGAACUGCUUUUUCUAUGUGUUAAUCCUGUUUGAGUAGAAAAAAUCCUACUCAGCCGGACAUGGAAGUUAUACAGAUCACCAAAAAAUGCCUCCCACCUAUAGCAGCUUUACGAGCAUUAGAUGCAUCAUAGAAGGGGAGGAGGAAGAGAAUCUAAGGGGCGUAGCUGCUACACCCCAACAUGAAGCUUGUUUUGAACUGCUUUUUCUAUGUGUUAAUCCUGUUUGAGUAGAAAAAAUCCUACUCAGCCGGACAUGGAAGUUAUACAGAUCACCAAAAAAUGCCUCCCACCUAGCCAGUAGAGAGACUAAUGCUGCAUAUAGGGGUGGGAGGUGGCGAACCAGCUUCUUAAAGUUUCCCGCCAUCACCUUCCAAUCUGGAGAAAGCAUUGUUUACACUCAAGCCACUUGUAAGGAUCCAAAUGAUGUCCUGCACACUCAUGGGACUUCAUACAAGCCUGCAUUCCUGUCUCUGCCUUCCAGGAGUAACAGUGUCACAUCCCUGAGAAAAUGUUUGUUCCAAAUGCUGUAAACUGUCAAAAAUGUUUGUUUUCUUUCUGCAGGGUGUUGAUAAGAGUGCUUGACCUGUGUUUCCUCUGUCUAUUAUCAGAUCUUAAAGGGUAAUGGGUAUUGAAUGUCACAGAGCUUCAUUUUAAUGCUCAGAAUUAACUGCAGUUUUUUAGUCUUUGAGCUUUUCCUAAUGAUGAAUUUAAUUUUGUUGUAGACUAUAUGUUUAUUUCUUUUGCAUUUCAUGUCUAUAUCUUUCUAUUACAAUUGAUUGUGGAGAGACUUUUAGCUCACUGUGGCUCUCUCCUAAAUAUUUCACAAGCUUUCCUUGUAAGCUUUGAAAACUUUUGCACCUGAGGCAGAAAAUCUAAAAGUGCUUUCCCUAUUUCUUACAGUAAUAAGAAGCACAAUAACUUAACAAUUUUUUACUCUUCCAUGGCUCCCAAAGUUUUCUGCCUGAAGCAGCUACCUCAGUGUGUCUAAUGUUAGGGCCAAUUCAACAUAUGCAAAUGAUUGUUUCAGAUUGCUGCCACAGAGCCAUGACUGUAUGGGUGUAAGUUUACUCUGAGUUUAUGACUGUUCAAGUCUGCAUAUGACUGUGUUAUGGUCAUAGCUCCAUGAUGCCACCUGAGCAUUUUUACAGGUAUCUUUUUAUUAUGGGACUAGUCACUCAUCAACAGUUAAUUUAAAUUUAGAUAUAUAGGGCACUAAAAGGCACCUCUAUCUUUUUUCCUACUUAUCCCUCAAAAUAAAAAUGAAACACGGUACA